AUGGGCCGCGGGCUGACCCUGUUCCUCCUGCCGCUGGUCCUGCUGGCGGGCCCGGCGCAGGCCGAAGGCGGCACGGCGGCGGCGGUGGUGGCGGAGGAGGUUAAAAUAGAGGUGCUGCACCUCCCGGAGGUCUGCAGCCCGAAGAGCAAGAAGGGGGAUCUGCUGAACGCGCACUACGACGGUUUCCUGGCCGGCGACGGAUCCAAGUUUUACUGCAGUCGGACUCAAAAUGAAGGUCAUCCAAAAUGGUUCGUUCUGGGUGUUGGACAGGUCAUAAAAGGGUUAGAUAUUGCUAUGAUGAAUAUGUGUCCUGGAGAAAAACGGAAAGUGAUCAUUCCGCCAUCAUUAGCAUACGGACAGCAAGGAUACGGUAGCACUUCAAGAAAGUAUUAUUUUCCUACAGCAUACCUGUCCUCUGUGUCAGCAUAUUCCUGCAUGCUGGGGAAGAUGCCUGCCUAAUCUUGAAUUAGAAAAGAUGCAUGUGGCUUUCUAAAUCUUUACAUAUCUUUCCUCUGUUGCACAGGGUAAGAUUCCACCCAAUGCAACAUUGAUCUUUGAGAUUGAACUUUAUGCAGUAAAUAAGGGACCUCGCAGUGUUGAAGCAUUUAAUCAAAUAGACAAGGACAGUGACAAGAAACUCUCUGAACUUGAGAUAAGCCAGUAUUUGAAAGAAGAAUUUGCAAGAGAUGGCAAAAAACGUCAUCCCUCAGUCCAUGAUGAAAUCUUAGCUGAUAUAUUUAAGAAGAAUGACCAUGAUGGAGACGGUUUCAUAUCAGCAAAGGAGUACAAUGUCUACCAGCAUGAUGAACUCUAAGUACUUAAAAAAUCUUUGGCUGUUUUCUGUACA